UACGUAGGGUGCGAGCGUUGUCCGGAAUUACUGGGCGUAAAGAGCUCGUAGGUGGUUUGUCGCGUUGUUCGUGAAAACUCACAACUCAAUUGUGGGCGUGCGGGCGAUACGGGCAGACUGGAGUACUGCAGAGGAGACUGGAAUUCCUGGUGUAGCGGUGGAAUGCGCAGAUAUCAGGAGGAACACCGGUGGCGAAGGCGGGUCUCUGGGUAGUAACUGACGCUGAGGAGCGAAAGCGUGGGGAGCGAACAGG
rnacentral:rRNA from 1 species